UUUAAGCGAGGAGGAGGCUACUCUAGUUAAUACCUAGAGAUAGUGGACGUUACUCGCAGAAUAAGCACCGGCUAACUCUGUGCCAGCAGCCGCGGUAAUACAGAGGGUGCGAGCGUUAAUCGGAUUUACUGGGCGUAAAGCGUGCGUAGGCGGCUGAUUAAGUCGGAUGUGAAAUCCCUGAGCUUAACUUAGGAAUUGNUUCGAUACUGGUCAGCUAGAGUAUGGGAGAGGAUGGUAGAAUAAGGGCGAAUUCGUUUAAACCUGCAGGACUAG
rnacentral:rRNA from 1 species